rnacentral:SRP_RNA from 1 species
GCCAGGCAUGGUGGCAAGUGCCAAUAGUCCCAGCUACUCGGGAGGCUGAGGUGGGAGGAUUGCUUGAGCCCAGUAGUUCUGGGCUGUAGUGUACUAUGCCCAAUCAGGUGUCUGCACUAAGUCAGAAUCAAUAUGGUGACCUCCUGGGAGUGGGGAACCACCAGGUUGCCUAGGUGUGAACGGGCCCAGGUCAGAAACAGAGCAGGUCAAAACUCCCAAGCUGAUCAGUAGUGAAAUUGCGCCUGUGAAUGGCCACUGCACUCCAGCCUGGGCAACAUAGCGAGACCCCCCAUCUC